rnacentral:rRNA from 1 species
UGGGGAAUAUUGGACAAUGGGCGAAAGCCUGAUCCAGCCAUGCCGCGUGUGUGAAGAAGGUCUUCGGAUUGUAAAGCACUUUAAGUUGGGAGGAAGGGUUGUAGAUUAAUACUCUGCAAUUUUGACGUUACCGACAGAAUAAGCACCGGCUAACUCUGUGCCAGCAGCCGCGGUAAUACAGAGGGUGCAAGCGUUAAUCGGAAUUACUGGGCGCAAAGCGCGCGUAGGUGGUUAGUUAAGUUGGAUGUGAAAUCCCCGGGCUCAACCUGGGAACUGCAUUCAAAACUGACUGACUAGAGUAUGGUAGAGGGUGGUGGAAUUUCCUGUGUAGCGGUGAAAUGCGUAGAUAUAGGAAGGAACACCAGUGGCGAAGGCGACCACCUGGACUGAUACUGACACUGAGGUGCGAAAGCGUGGGGAGCAAACA